ACUGUUACCUGAGAAAAACAGUAACUGAAAAGGAGAAAGGAUCAGAUAACCCAAAUCAGGAAUCUUCCAGAGUGCAGAUGUUGCAGUUUUUGUGAGUGAGACCUCAAGCAUAGCAAAGGAAUCGUACAACCUGUGAAUUCAGUUUAAUUACUGAGAUCAAGGAUGAUGAAACAUUCAUUAAGAUUAUACAG